UUUCCACCCCAGUUCUCAAGGCUCUAACUGAUUUAAGCAUCGGAAGGUCAAAAAUCGAAGGAUCCCCAUCCGAUUUUUUGACUGAUUUUGUAGAUUAGAGAAAUUCUCAUCAGGUCGCAAGGAUCACUCCAUCUCAACCUCGCUCUUGUUGAUCCACUCUAUUCCAAAUUCUGAGCCUUGAAGUAAUAGGGCAUAAGUUAUGCAUG
rnacentral:lncRNA from 1 species